UUGAAUUGAAGAGUUUGAUCAUGGCUCAGAUUGAACGCUGGCGGCAGGCUUAACACAUGCAAGUCGAGCGGUAACG
rnacentral:rRNA from 1 species